GCCGGGCUUCCUCCGAUCUACACCUCCACUCUAUCUCUCUCAAUCUAGUAGAAACUAGAAGAUCUAUUUCUACUCACAUUGGUUGCUAAGCCUAAAAAGAAAUUUUAUUUAGAGAAGAGGUUUUCCUUCGAGGGCUCCCCUCAACUCUAUGAUAAACUUGUCUCCUCCAGGGGCCAGGGGGUCUAGUUUUAUAGUCCCCUCAAGUGAACGUGAGCCAUUGGAUCAAACCAACAUUGAUUGGACGGUUAUCCUUGAUACUUUAGGUCGGUGGAGCGUCGUGUGCGAAAAGAGUCCCGAUUGGAGUACAGAGGGGGCGAGAGCCCAGGUCCUCAGGGCGGGCGCUCUGGGCCUGGCCUCUUUCGGCCUCUGCUUCGUUCUCGUGGCUUCUAGAGUCUUCUAGAUGGUAGAAAAUUGUGCGGUGCGUUGAUAUCUCUAUGUAAUCCUAACAUGUGGGCCUUUCUUCCUUAUUUCCUGAUAACCCCCUGCAGAAACAGAUAAACAACAAAACUCGUGGAAUUCUGUCAGAUCAAACCCUAAUUCUAGGUGUUGUUUGUAUAUUGGUCCUUUCUCUUAUUUAUUUGAUAAUUAAAAUUGAUACUUAAGAACCGUCAACAAAUACCCCCAUACUUAGGCUUUUACUCGUCCUCGAGAAAAGGAUGGUUAAGAACAAUAUCUGGGGUAAAACAUUUUUAAAAUAUUCUCUUCAUAACUGCAGGGUGUUAAAAUCUACUGUGAACUAUAGUCAGGGAAGUAUAUGGUUAAGAGUAGAGAUUCUUUCUUCUCAAUCCUGUCACUUGGAGUUUUUGUAUAUUUUUAAAAGAAAGUUAGCAUACCUUUUAUCCUCAUAGGUCUUCUCAGAUCACUCAUUAUCUUUUAUAUAUCUCACUGAGGCUGUUUUAAUUUGCAAAAAUUCUCAAGCAUACUUACCUUGUAUUUAUUGCCUGAUCAAAACGGGAUCCGAGGAGGGGAAUGUCAUGCUCUUAGAUCAAAGACUUUGGAAAUUAAAAUCUUUGUCAACUCUUGCUGGCAUAUUGCUUAUUAGAGGGACCAUGGGCUAUCAUUUUCUUUUUCUUCUUUUUUUUAAGUGGAUACCGAGGUACCCCUAAUUCUACUGCUGGACGCUUGUCCAUUUUUUUCUGCGAGGUUAUCGAGCACUUGUUCCUUUUUAUUUCCUCGAAAUAUCUUUAUUUUUUGCAUAGCCCAUGCCUCUAGUGCAAUAAUACUUUGGAAGAGUGAAUCUUUCUGAAUAAAUGUCUUGAUCUUAGGAGCAUGAUAAAUCUCUCAACAAGGGUCUAACUCAUUUUGAACAAACUCAAUACAGAGUAGAUAGCUUUUAUAAUCAUAAUUAAUAUUUUCAGUUUUUAUCAGGCAUAUAAAACACUGAGGAUGGUAGCUAGAAUUUUGAAGAUUUUGAAAUAAAUUCUCCAAGCAACAAUGAUAUCAAGAAUAAGAAACUCAUACUUUACCAUCUCACAUUCCAUACUGUUGAUGCAAAAGUGGAUCUGCAAACACAAAGAGCUAAUACCCGAUUUCAAAUGUUAAGGCGUGCCAGCCGAUUUGACCUUGCUAUCGGCAAAGGUGAUAACUCGAAUACUUUGGUCCCGACAACAGCGAUGCGCCCGGAUGUCACGGCCAAGAGGUAUUCACGCGGAACUCGAGAAUACGCCGAGCUUAAGUCGACGAACUCCUAAGAACUCGUAAUGAAAAAGAAAAUAUGAUGAAGUCGUCGAAAAAGU
rnacentral:lncRNA from 1 species